rnacentral:misc_RNA from 1 species
AAGUCGUAACAAGGUUUCCGUAGGUGAACCUGCGGAAGGAUCAUUAACACAAUUUUACUGUGAUAACAUCCGUUGAAUUCUUCUCGAAUUCAAUGGUAUCCACCCCAUUAUUGACGAACUUUUCUAGAUGUUAAAAACAUACAGCUAGUCUUUAUGUCUCUAACAUUCUAAACCUCUUUCUAUAUCCACACAAAUUUAAACCCCUUUUACAACAUGUCUUAGACUGAAAUGAAAAAUUUCUAUCAAAAAAUUGAUAAAAACAACUUUUAACAACGGAUAUCUUGGCUCUC